GUCUCCAUCAGACAUAGUUUAACUUACACGACGAUCACUACCCUCUCUUUUCCUCUCCAGCCCCGAACUAACGAUAGGUAAAUUAUUUUAAUAAGGUAAGAUACCCCCUUGUAUAGAGGUUGCCUCCUCUUUGUUUUUUUAACCCCGAAUAAUGCUCUCUAUGUCAUCUGUAUAUUUAUGAUAGCUCAAAGACAUGGGUGUGUGGAUCUAAUUAAAAAUGUGAAAGGGUUUAGCAGCCUGCUGCUUCCUUGCAACUCUCUGGUUGCCAAAUCUUGGCAGCCGUGUUGAAACGGAGCCAAGUGUUUAGUGUUCAGCUGAACUGCUGCCAGCCGGAGCGCUGCAUUGUGGGACCGGAGAGCCCGGAGGAGCUGCAUUAAAACGAGCCUGCACAGGGCCGGGCAGUGCGCGGGACCUGGGACCCCGCGGCCCCUGUGCAAAGCAGCGGCAAAGGAAGGCGGCGCGUUCUCGCCCUUUGCCUGGGCCCGGCCCCAGCUCUUUCCCAAAGCAAGGCAGGGGAUAUAAUUGCCUCAUCAUCUGGAGAAUGGAGAGGCUGUUGCAUGCCAUCUGUCAUCCAGGACAUGCUCGGUAAAUAUGAAGGGAUAGGAGAAAAGCAGAAUCUUCCAUCUUGAUGCCACAGACAAACACGAGGACAUCACUGUUGAUUCCCAGCUCCAGGCAGCCCCCGCCUCUGCGUCUCCUGCACUAAUAUCCAAAGCCUAUUGAUUCUCUUUCCUAAAAACAGUUCCUCUCCCAACAGUUCUGUGGUUUGCAGGGCAGUUACUUCUAAGCCUAUGACUCGAAACCAGGGUGACACAUAGUUCUCAUCCUUUUAUAAACCUCCAAGGGUCCCCAUCUUUAGCAAGAGAAAACUCAAGCCCCUUCACACAUGGUCCUGCUCCAAAUCCCCACGUGUCCCACAUCCUCUCAGACACCCCUUGACCUCAAACCCUUUGGACAUGCAAUAGGCAAUUGCUUCUCGUUCUUCAGACACGUCAUCCUGGGUAAUGAGUCUGACCUCACACGUUCCAUCCCUCAUGACUGACACAACUCCUUCUUUCCCAGAAAAUUUCUGUUCAGCCUUUAAGACAAAACCCACAUGUCACUUUCUCUUACAAGUCUUCCUGGCUUCUCUGGACAGUUAAAUGAGCAACAUUUGUCUUAAUUCACUUCCACAUCAACAAAGCCUGACCCAUAAUAGCAUCUCAACACCUAUGCCACUGGGUCUUGGUUUCCUUCUUGCCUCUCCAGGUGUUCUUCUCAUUCUCCUUUCCAGGGUCUUCUUCCUCUACCAGCCUUCAGCUUUUGAUGUUCCUCAAGGUGGGCCAUAUAGUUUUUAAAAAUAUCAGAACGAUACAUCUUUACAUUGUACCAUGGUGAUCCAUCUGCUCUGCAGGCUGCACUGUCCACUCGUGUGCAGGUGACUCCCAGAGCUGCAUGUCCAGUCCUGCCCUUCACACCCCAGACCUUCCCAUUCACGUAUGUGAUGGCUGUCUUGAUACUUGGAUAUUUCAGAGAGCCCUCAGACUCAGAGAGUUCCAAACUUUCAUUUCCCUACACACCCCUAAAUCCUUAUUAAACCUCAGUAUCCUCCCAUUAACGGCAUCGCCAUAUGUUCAGUGUCCAAAUGAAAAACCUAGACAUCUCAACUGAUUCCUCCCUGAACAUAAUCCCCCCGUCUGAUUAAGCAAUGAAGCCUCUGAAUGUUUCCUUUAUCAUAGUUUUCAAAUCUGUUCAAGUCCUCCAAUCCACCACCAUUCUACCUCACUCUGUUAGUCAGUGCUGCCAUUGUCUCUUUUCUGUACUUCGGCAAAAAGUUCCUAAUAUCUCCUUGCCUCUAGCAUUUUACUUCUCAAUUCAUUCUCCACCAAAUAGCUAGGAUAAUCUCUCUAAAAUACAAAUUUUGUCAAGUCACUAGUCUAUUUGAGAUUUUCCAGUGAUUCCCCAGCUAGUUUGGGUAUAAUGUUCGUAAUCCUCUGCAUGGUUCACAGAGAUCUUGGCCUGGGAUCUAAAUAACUCUUGGUUUCCAUGUCUUGCAUCCCUGGGACUUGAGUCAUAUUGGACCCCUCUUAAUUCUGCACUGUGAUCUUCUCUCUCUGAGUCUCAGCUUUCUCGUAUGCUGCCUUCUUCCCAACCUCAUCUAACUCCUAUUCAACCUGCAGAACAU